AGCGAACGCUGGCGGCAGGCCUAACACAUGCAAGUCGAACGAAGUCUUCGGACUUAGUGGCGGACGGGUGAGUAACACGUGGGAACGUGCCUUUAGGUUCGGAAUAACUCAGGGAAACUUGUGCUAAUACCGAAUGUGCCCUUCGGGGGAAAGAUUUAUCGCCUUUAGAGCGGCCCGCGUCUGAUUAGCUAGUUGGUGAGGGAAAGGCUCACCAAGGCGACGAUCAGUAGCUGGUCUGAGAGGAUGAUCAGCCACAUUGGGACUGAGACACGGCCCAAACUCCUACGGGAGGCAGCCGUGGGGAAUCUUGCGCAAUGGGCGAAAGCCUGACGCAGCCAUGCCGCGUGAAUGAUGAAGGUCUUAGGAUUGUAAAAUUCUUUCACCGGGGACGAUAAUGACGGUACCCGGAGGAGAAGCCCCGGCUAACUUCGUGCCAGCCGCCGCCGUAA
rnacentral:rRNA from 1 species